GAAAUAGAACCUGAAACCCUGCACUUACAAGCUGUGGAAGCACAUUUCUUGUGUGACCGCGUACUUUUUGUAGAACGGGCCAACGAGUUACGUUAAGUAGCAAGGUUAAGCACUUAAGGUGCGGAGCCGUAGCGAAAGCGAGUUUUAACUGAGCGUUCAGUUACUUGACGUAGACCCGAAACCGGGCGACCUACCCAUGAGCAGGAUGAAGCGAAAGUAAAAUUUCG
rnacentral:rRNA from 1 species